GAAGUCGAGUUAUAGGGCUGGCACAGUGGGCUGGAAUUUAGUUGACUUUGGUUUUAGGUCAUCACUAAUCAUUCUUUUGAUUAUCCUUCUGAUUAUGACAUAAAGGUACCCGGGAAUACUUUUCAAGCACCGUAACUUGUUAAUUGGUUGUUGUUGAAUUCUUGUAAGGUUAAGCAGGU